CCGACCUUGAAAUACCACCCUUUAAUGUUUGAUGUUCUAACGUGGACCCGUAAUCCGGGUUGCGGACAGUGUCUGGUGGGUAGUUUGACUGGGGCGGUCUCCUCCUAAAGAGUAACGGAGGAGCACGAAGGUUGGCUAAUCCUGGUCGGACAUCAGGAGGUUAGUGCAAUGGCAUAAGCCAGCUUGACUGCGAGCGUGACGGCGCGAGCAGGUGCGAAAGCAGGUCAUAGUGAUCCGGUGGUUCUGAAUGGAAGGGCCAUCGCUCAACGGAUAAAAGGUACUCCGGGGAUAACAGGCUGAUACCGCCCAAGAGUUCAUAUCGACGGCGGUGUUUGGCACCUCGAUGUCGGCUCAUCACAUCCUGGGGCUGAAGUAGGUCCCAAGGGUAUGGCUGUUCGCCAUUUAAAGUGGUACGCGAGCUGGGUUUAGAACGUCGUGAGACAGUUCGGUCCCUAUCUGCCGUGGGCGCUGGAGAACUGAGGGGGGCUGCUCCUAGUACGAGAGGACCGGAGUGGACGCAUCACUGGUGUUCGGGUUGUCAUGCCAAUGGCACUGCCCGGUAGCUAAAUGCGGAAGAGAUAAGUGCUGAAAGCAUCUAAGCACGAAACUUGCCCCGAGAUGAGUUCUCCCUGAGACUUAGAGUCUCCUGAAG
rnacentral:rRNA from 1 species